rnacentral:rRNA from 1 species
UGAGUUAUGUCAUGUUAUCGAUAUGUGAAUACAUAGCAUAUCAGAAGGCACACCCGGAGAACUGAAACAUCUUAGUACCCGGAGGAAGAAAAAGAAAAUUCGAUUCCCUUAGUAGCGGCGAGCGAAAUGGGAAGAGCCCAAACCAACAAGCUUGCUUGUUGGGGUUGUAGGACACUCUAUACGGAGUUACAAAGGACGACAUUAGACGAAUCAUCUG